ensembl:lncRNA
CGGGACAGCUUUACCUCUAACAAAGACGGCAACAAGAAAGCUCAAAAGCAGGGAAAUGCUCCUCCAUCCUCCAGCCCUCGGAUCCCUUUCUCCAAGUUAUCCAAUUCACCUGAGGUGUCUGGUCCUUGCUCAAAGUUCUCUGCAGAAAAAUGGUUUUUUCAUACAUUGAGAGUACAAUUUUUCUCAGCCAAAUUUCAGAUUUUCAAUGCAAUAUCAUUCACGCUAGCAAAAAGCACUCUAUGUUGAUUGAUUGAGCAACGCCAAGCAGAGAAGAAUCAUGUCCAGGAGCAAGGGGAAUCUGGUUAGGUGAAGCUUCUGACCCCAUGGACAAGCCAGCUCUUAUGCCAAAAACAAAGGCUGGGCUGUUUCCACGCUGCCCCAGUAACACACCUGUGCAGCCUCCGCUCUGUUGCAUCAGCCUUUCCAUAACCACCUUUCACCCGCAAACUCAAGUUCUAACUCCUUAGGCCAGAGUUCAACACCCUCCCAUCUGGCCCCAGCCCAACUUUCCAACGUCCCCCUCACCAGCAACCUCUACAAACUACUCCGACCCUUUGGCCUAUUCCCCAUUCUCCAAACACACCUUGCAAUUUCGCUGCUGUAUCUCCCGCCAGCCUUCAAAG